rnacentral:tRNA from 1 species
GGGCGCAUGGCUCAGCGGAUAGAGCACUUGCUUCACACGCAAGGGGUCGAAGGUUCAAUUCCUUCUGCGCCCACCA